rnacentral:rRNA from 1 species
GAUGAACGCUGGCGGCGUGCCUAAUACAUGCAAGUCGAGCGAACUGAUUAGAAGCUUGCUUCUAUGACGUUAGCGGCGGACGGGUGAGUAACACGUGGGCAACCUGCCUGUAAGACUGGGAUAACUUCGGGAAACCGAAGCUAAUACCGGAUAGGAUCUUCUCCUUCAUGGGAGAUGAUUGAAAGAUGGUUUCGGCUAUCACUUACAGAUGGGCCCGCGGUGCAUUAGCUAGUUGGUGAGGUAACGGCUCACCAAGGGAACGAUGCAUAGCCGACCUGGGAGGGGGAUCGACAACACUGGGACUGAGACACGGCCCAGACUCCGACGGGAGGCAGCAGUAGGGAAUCUUCCGCAAUGGACGAAAGUCUGAAGGAGCAACGCCGCGUGAGGGAUGAAGGCUUUCGGGUCGUAAAACUCUGUUGUUAGGGAAGAACAAGUACGAGAGUAACUGCUCGUACCUUGACGGUACCUAACCAGAAAGCCACGGCUAACUACGUGCCAGCCGCCGCAGUAA